GGAUGUGAGGGUCAUCUAGCUGUAACAUCUGUUACUUUAAUGCCUUAUUGAUCACCAGAGUUGAUUCACUUGAUGAGGCUGACUAGGCAUUUAUCACUUUCCCCUCUUUCACUAGUUCAUGUAUGUCCCUCUUGAAGCUGCACACUCUGCUAAAGAGGAUAACCUUCCCCAUCUUAGAAGGACCAUUCUUCGGUUAGUGGUAUAUGAGCAACUGUGCUCUCUUGCUAAGAUCUCCAAAUAGCUCUUAAGAAAUAGCUGCCUGAUUUAUCUCUAGUUGUUAGUUUCUUAUAUAUAGUCUUACUGUUUUUU
rfam:Dipodomys ordii contig_15491, whole genome shotgun sequence.